GGUAUGCGGCAAGGUUAACCAGUGAUGGGGAGCCGGAGCGAAAGCGAGUCUGAAUAGGGCGUUCAGUCGCAUGCUGUAGACCCGAAGCCGAGUGAUCUAUCCAUGGGCAGGGUGAAGCGGGGGUAAGACCCCGUGGAGGCCCGAACCCACCUAGGUUGAAAACUGGGGGGAUGACCUGUGGAUAGGGGUGAAAGGCCAAGCAAACUCGGUGAUAGCUGGUUCUCCCCGAAAUGCAUUUAGGUGCAGCGUCGGGUGUUCAGCAGCGGAGGUAGAGCACUGGAUGGGUUAGGGGGCCUACAAGCUUACCGACCCCAACCAAACUCCGAAUACCGUUGCUCCACAGCCCGGCAGUGAGACCAUGGGGGAUGAGCUUCAUGGUCGAGAGGGAAACAGCCCAGACCGCCGGCUAAGGCCCCUAAUUCUGGACUAAGUGGUAAACGAUGUGGGAUUGCACAGACAGCCAGGAGGUUGGCUUAGAAGCAGCCACCCUUGAAAGAGUGCGUAACAGCUCACUGGUCGAGUGAUCCUGCGCGGACAAUGUAACGGGGCUCAAGUCCAGAGCCGAAGCCGCGGAUCCUUUACGGAUGGUAGGGGAGCGUCGAUCUCGGAGCGAAGCGGCGGUGUGAACCGUCGUGGACCGUGGUCGAGUGAGAAUGCUGGCAUGAGUAGCGAGAGAGGGGUGAGAAACCCCUCCGCCGAAAGCCCAAGGGUUCCUGGGGAAGGCUAAUCCUCCCAGGGUAAGUCGGGAGCUAAGGCGAGGCCGAAAGGCGUAGUCGAUGCACAACUGGUUGAUAUUCCAGUACCACCACGUGCGCGCCCAAGCCAACUCUUUGGUGCUAGGGGCUGUUCACCUUCGGGUGAACGAACCGAACCACCGUUGACGCGGCUAGCAAUGAGGGGACGCAGGAGGGUAGGUGAACCCAGGCGAUGGUUGUCCUGGGGUAAGCGUGUAGGGAGAGGUCCAGGCAAAUCCGGCCCUCAUACAUCCUGAGACGCGAUGCCGAGCCGAUACAGGCGAAGUCACUAAUCCCAUGCUGCCGAGAAAAGCCUCUAGCGAGCUCACGUGGUGCCCGUACCCCAAACCAACACAGGUGGGCAGGUAGAGAAUACCAAGGCGAUCGGGAGAACUGUGGUUAAGGAACUCGGCAAAAUACCUCCGUAACUUCGGGAGAAGGAGGACCCCAGUAGGGUGACGUCCCUUGCGGACCGAGCUCGAAGGGGUGGCACAGACCAGGGGAAAGCGACUGUUUACUAAAAACACAGCAGCGUGCCAAGCCGCAAGGCGAUGUAUACGCUGUGACGCCUGCCCGGUGCCGGAAGGUUACGGGGAAGGGUUAGCCCUCGGGCGAAGCUCUGAACCUAAGCCCCGGUAAACGGCGGCCGUAACUAUAACGGUCCUAAGGUAGCGAAAUUCCUUGUCGGGUAAGUUCCGACCUGCACGAAUGGCGUAACGACUUUCCUACUGUCUCAACCACAGACCCGGCGAAAUUGAAGUACGAGUAAAGAUGCUCGUUAGCUGCAGAAGGACGGAAAGACCCCGUGGACCUUUACUACAGCCUGAUAUUGGGUUUUGGUAUGUGUUGUGUAGGAUAGGUGGGAGACUUUGAAGCGUCGGCGCCAGCCGGCGUGGAGUCAUCCUUGAAAUACCACCCUGCACAUGCCGGAACUCUAACCUAGACCCGUGAUCCGGGUUGGGGACAGUGGCAGGUGGGUAGUUUGACUGGGGCGGUCGCCUCCUAAAGAGUAACGGAGGCGCCCAAAGGUUCCCUCAGGCUGGUUGGCAAUCAGCCGUCGAGUGCAAUGGCACAAGGGAGCUUGACUGCGAGACCUACAAGUCAAGCAGGUGCGAAAGCAGGGCAUAGUGAUCCGGCGGUUGCGUGUGGAAGCGCCGUCGCUCAACGGAUAAAAG
rnacentral:rRNA from 1 species